rnacentral:ribozyme from 1 species
AAUUUGAAUGAGAUAAUUAUCUUAAAAAAAGGAGAAGCAUCAUUUGGAGGGCGAGGAUCUUUUUUGUUUGUUUCUCUCUCUCUCUCUCUCUCUCUCUUUUCUCUCUCUCUUUCUCUCUCUUUCUCUUUCUCUCUCUCUCUCUUUCUCUCAGUGAUCAUCUUAUACAAAGAAUGCUUGAUGGGCAACCACAAUUCAACGAGGUAUGAGUCUCAAAAAAGAAGACCAAUUAAAGGUAAAAG